GAUGAACGCUAGCGGGAGGCUUAACACAUGCAAGUCGAGGGGCAGCACGAGGUAGCAAUACUUUGGUGGCGACCGGCGCACGGGUGAGUAACGCGUAUGCAACCUACCCUGUACAGGGGGAUAACCCGGAGAAAUUCGGACUAAUACCCCAUAAAGAUAUUUAGAGGCAUCUUUGAAUAUUUAAAGUUACGACGGUACGGGAUGGGCAUGCGUGUCAUUAGCUAUUUGGUAUGGUAACGGCCUACCAAGGCUUCGAUGUCUAGAGGUGCUGAGAGGGUGAUCCCCCACACUGGUAAUAAGACACGGACCAGACUCCUACGGGAGGCAGCAGUGAGGAAUAUUGGUCAAUGGGCGCAAGCCUGAACCAGCCAUCCCGCGUGAAGGAAGAAUGCGCUAUGCGUUGUAAACUUCUUUUCCAGGGGAAGAAAACCUGAUACGUGUAUCGGCUUGCCGGUACCCUGGGAAUAAGCAUCGGCUAACUCCGUGCCAGCCGCCGCCGUAAAAC
rnacentral:rRNA from 1 species